ACUCAGAAGCCCCGGCUACCUCCGUGCCAGCAUCCGCGGUAAUACGUAGGGGGCAAGCGUUAUCCGGAUUUACUGGGUGUAAAGGGAGCGUAGGUGGCAUGGCAAGUCAUAUGUGAAAACCCGGGGCUCAACCCCGGGAGUGCAGUGGAAACUGUCCAGCUGGAGUGCAGGAGAGGUAAGCGGAAUUCCUAGUGUAGCGGUGAAAUGCAUAGAUAUUAGGAGGAACACCAGUGGCGAAGGCGGCUUACUGGACUGUAACUGACACUGAGGCUCGAAAGCGUGGGGAGCAAACAGG
rnacentral:rRNA from 1 species